GGGCCGGUGGUCUAGUUGGCUAUGAUACUGCAUUGACAGUGCAGUGGUCGGGAGUUCAAGUCUCCCCCGGCCCACCA
rnacentral:tRNA from 1 species